AGCCUAACACAAGAAUCUUCGUUUUAAUUAUUUAAAGUAUUUCAAAAAUAUUUAAUAAAAUAUUAUCUGGAUCUGAUAAUUAAAAAACUGAUGUGACCAUAUUUUAAAAACUUUAAUUCUUUCUUAGGAUAUACACUGUAUACUUGAUUACAAAAUGAUCAUCAGCGUGAAUCAUGACAGCAAAUGUAUUAUCAAUCAACACAUGACCUUCCAUGUAUCAUGACACUAAUGACACC
rnacentral:lncRNA from 1 species